AGCUUACAAGUCAAAAGUAAUAUGCACAGUGUGUCAAACUGAAUUAAAAUUAAAACUAACACUUCAAUAAAAUACAAUUAAUCAAGUAGAGUUGAGUAGGUUGAGUUUGAGCUACCACCUAUGAGCUAAGCGUUCAGGUGCAACUAAUCAGACUGAUGUCAGUGAGCAACUGUAUCACAAAAGCCAGCAGAGCACUAUUUUGGUGCGUGCACGAAUUGCCUCCAACCUCUGGAUGAAAUCGAAUGAAGACACUGACUUCUGGAUGACGCAGGCUAGCGAUUGGCGAAGGAAAUGUUGUGGGUCUUCAGGCUGUUUACUACAAGCAGAACACCUGCAUUCUUUCCAGGCUCUCCAGAGGACUGUGAUUUGACCCCACGCAUGAGUAAAAGGGUAUCCGACUCCCUCAAAAUGUCAGUAUGCCACAUAAAUCUAUCGCUCCUGACACGUUCUCUCCACAGAGGCUCAGAUAAAGAAACACCUUUGUGAAAAGUGGCGAGACUGACAUACUUUCAAAGAGCGAUGGAAGAAACAAGAAUUCCCAUAUUCUCACUGCAGCUCUCUGAUUUGUCCACCCUCAGUGGUAAACUGAUAAAGUACUGUGACAAUACCUCUGGAGUGUCUCAUAAAUGCUUUGUAUUGACCUGAAAGCAUUUGCUGACCACAAACAGAACUACAAACAGGGGGAGCAUUUCUCCUGUGGGGAUUAGAUGAUUUACUCCGGCAGGCACACAGGAUCACUGUCUUGGUUCUUCUCUAAGCUGACCUUCCACAGACAGCAGCACCUUCCAUUGCUCCAGGCCUUCAGCCUGAAAAUCUCUCCUGUGCAGGAUGGAUUGGGUUCCAGGACCCUCUCCUCUCCUGGGACUGAACCAACCUGGGGGAACAGGGGGCUUUCAUAGGAGAUCACAGGUGCUUAUAUACAAAAUGGCAAUUUUCUUCUUCCAUAAUUCCAUGUUACUGCAUUACCAGAUCUUAUCGUGAGGCCAGUAUCUCAUUCCUGAGGUUUUAGACGUUAAUGAAAGAUGCUUUGCCUCCGGCCAAUGGGGGCUAAAUCAACAAGCCCAGGAUUCCUGUUGGCCUUUGUAGGGGAAUACCAAAGGCAGGGAGCGGACUGAGCGGAGGUCAGAGACAAAGCACCGAGCUGAAGAUGGAAAUGCUGCGCACACAACAGGCUUGAAUUCAAUCUAGUGUAGAGGGUCUGAACCUUAUUUUGUUCUCUCAAAUCACUGUCAAAUGUUCUCAAGCACCCAUGCAAUGACAGCUCCUGUCAAGCUCUAAAUUCAGAUUGGUUUUAAGAUUUGAAAACUAUUGUGCUGUUGAUGAUUCCUUGACACAAUAAAACCUGCAUUUGUAGAACUUUUGCUUUGAGAUGCAGAAGCCAAGUGUGUCCUCCAUUUAUCUGUUACUUUAAGCUAACCAUUCAUUUUGUUGUUAUAAAGUCAAUUUUCGCUUAAUGUUUCAAACAUAUAACUGACAACUAUCAUACCAGCUACCUUCAACUUUUUCAUUCAACUUUAACCAUCCAAUUGGCUACUUUCCAUUGUAGAGCUUUUUAUUGGUUACCUUCAGCUAACUGCUAAUCUACCAGCUCACUUUGCACUGUGUACUGAAUCCAUUGUGAUUUUUAACUGUUCAAUGAUUAAUUUUUGUGCUGUUUUAUCCACUACAAUUAAGCCUGGUCUCUUUAUUACCACUAGCUAGCUACCCUAAACUUUGAUCCAUUAUUUUCAGCUAACUGUUUUAAUGACGUACACCCAUUAGCCUACUUUCAGCUAUGUAUUCAAACCACUUAUUCAUUACUAUUUUAAUGUUUACUGUUUAAUCACUACUUUUGUACUCUGCCUCAGCUAGUGUUUUUAAGCCAACAAUUUAAAAGUUUCAUUAUCAUUAGCUCCCUGUUCUGAGCCUGUUUGCCAUUUCACUUGGUUAACUACUUACACAUACCCAUCAGCUGACUUUAGCACAAUUAUUACAGCCACUUAAUUCAAAACUACUGUUUAUUCAAUACUUUUGGUGCUUAAUUUUGUAUCUUAAUUUGUUUGCUUAAUAUUUGAUAUACUCUGGCCUUUUUAACAUUUAAUCCAUUAUAUUAGCUUACACUGUUUAUGCCUCUCUGAUCACUUGCAAAAUAUUUUUAAUCAAAUUGAAGUGAUUUCUUUUCUUUUUUCAUAUUAGUUGAGCUGCUCUUCAGUGUUCCCAUGUAAUCCCCUGCACCUGCAAAAGUACCCCCUGGAGUACAAGUAACCCUGGUCAGGAAUUACUGAUCUAGAGCACACUAACAAGCCAACUUAAAUAUAAAACCCAUCUUAUCUUUCUAAGGUCCUGCAUGGUUAUCGUCUAAAGCCUUCUUACUGCGCAAACAGCUCAUAUUGAAACUGCAGAAUCUUUGUACACUAUUGUACAAUAAUACAGAAUGAUUGAUGACUUUUCUUUCAAUUGGAGAGCUGAAACAUUGUAAUUAUUACUCUUUAUGUCCUUAGUGUGCCCUACAUUCAGACCAAACCUACCCCAACAGUAUGUGUUGAGGAUAUGUAAUUUCAGCCACUUAGGAUCAUUAAAAGGAGAUCAUAUUGAAUAUCCCUCCAACAGAGGGAAAGAGAAAGCGAGAAAGAAAUAAAGAAGAGAUUUGUUUGUCAGUCAAUUCUGGCCCACUCAGUCUCCUUAGCCUUGUGAAAGAGGGGGAGAGAAAGGGUCGGGGUCAGCUUUCUGUAAAUCUUCUGAUGAAAUGUUGACAAAACAGCCAAUUUUCUGUAAUUUUGCAGCGGCUGUCUUUCAACAGCUUACUCACUCAGAACCCCUUCAUUUCAAACAGCAGCACACUGCGACCCCUGACAUGUAUCUCAUCCUGGACUCUUUUGGCCGCGCAGAAAGACAGUAACAGUUGUGCCUUUUAGGUCAGGUGGAUGUCGUUUAAGGAGCCGGCUUCAUAAAGGACUCCUUUGUCUCUCAAACAGGCUCUCUUGGGCCCCAGUAAAAGGAUAAGAAAUGUAGUUAAUAGCCCAGGAGUGGCCUAAUCAUCAGCUGCCAUUACUGCUCCAAUAUCAGCAGAGAUGACAGACUUAUCAAUAACAAAGGCCCAGCUGAAGCCUCCACCGCUCUGUCAUUUUGAUCUUUGCUCCACUAAUCAGAGCUUUCAUUUGAGCUAAGCACCAGGCAGCACACCUCUCAUUCUCUUCAUGCUGUGCCAGAUAUCACUCAUCUUUACAAGCCACUCUGUAUUCCCCCAACCCCAGGCCACCAUUUCCACAAAUUGGCUUAAUUUCUCAGGCAAAUAUAUGACACAUCUGAGAGCUCAUUAUCCCUGCGAUGCAAGUGAUUAUUGUACUUACUGCUUAAACUCUCUUAGCUUCUAGGAGCAGUCUUGAAUGUCUUUCGUUGGAGUCCAGCUGAUUUUUAAAUUGAAAUGUAGAUAUGUCAAACUGCCGAAUGUUAAAGUAUAUAAAUAUUCUAUAAGUUUCUGCUGUGUUUGCUAUAAGUGCACUUUCAAAGACAAAAAACUUUGUGGCAUGUUGUUUCUAUUCUUUGUCUAAAGCAUGGACUGAGCUACACACAUUUUAAUAAAGCCUGUCAAUCAUC